rnacentral:rRNA from 1 species
GACGAACGCUGGCGGCGUGCUUAACACAUGCAAGUCGAACGGAAAGGCCCUGCUUUUGUGGGGUGCUCGAGUGGCGAACGGGUGAGUAACACGUGAGUAACCUGCCCUUGACUUUGGGAUAACUUCAGGAAACUGGGGCUAAUACCGGAUAGGAGCUCCUGCUGCAUGGUGGGGGUUGGAAAGUUUCGGCGGUUGGGGAUGGACUCGCGGCUUAUCAGCUUGUUGGUGGGGUAGUGGCUUACCAAGGCUUUGACGGGUAGCCGGCCUGAGAGGGUGACCGGCGACAGUGGGAAUGAGAUACGGGACGGAGUGCUACGGGAGGCAGCAGGGGGGAAUGUGGCACAAGGGGCGGAAGUCUGAUGCAGGAACGCCGCGUGGGGGAUGACGGCCUUAGGGUGGUAAACCGCUUUAGCCUGGGACGAAGCGUGAGUGACGGUAAGGGAGAAAGAAGCACCGGCUAACUACGUG